rnacentral:tRNA from 1 species
GCGCCUGUAGUUCAACGGAUCAGAAUAGGAGAUUCCGGUUCUCCAGAUCAGGGUUCGAUUCCCUGUGGGCGUA